rnacentral:rRNA from 1 species
GACAGAGGGUGCAAACGUUGUUCGGAAUUACUGGGCGUAAAGCGCGUGUAGGCGGCUUGGAAAGUCGGAUGUGAAAGCCCUGGGCUCAACCUAGGAAGUGCAUUCGAAACUCCCGAGCUUGAGUUCUGGAGAGGAAGGCGGAAUUCUCGGUGUAGAGGUGAAAUUCGUAGAUAUCGAGAGGAACACCGGUGGCGAAGGCGGCCUUACUGGACAGUGACUGACGCUGAGACGGCGAAAGCGUGGGGAGCAAACAGGGAUUAA